AGGCCAGAGCAGCGGUUCUCAACCUUCCUAAGGCCGCGACCCUUGAAUACAGCUCCCCAUGCUGUGGGGACCCCCAACCAUAACAUUAUUCUCGUGGCUGCGUCAUCACUGUCAUGUGGCUGCUGUGAUGAAUCGUCAUGGAAACAUCUGAUCUGCAGGAUGGAUUCUCAUGGUGACGCAUCGAACAUCAUGAAAGCACAGUGAUCGAUCACAAAAACAAUAUGUGAUUAUAGAUGUGUUUUCCGACGGUCUUAGGCGACCCCUGUGAAAGGGGCGUUCGACCCUCCAAGGGGUCGCGACCCACAGGUUGAGAACCGCUGCUAUGUAAUAAAAGGCUAAUAUGCAAAUUGACCAAACGGCGGAACGCCCGGUCGCUAUGACGCGCACUGACCACCAGGGGGCAGACGCUCAACGCGGGAGCUGCCCCCUGGUGGUCAGUGCGCUCAGCCAGAAGCCGGGCUCACUAAAGCCGUCCGUCGGACAUCCCCCGAGGGCUCCCGGACUGCGAGAGGGAACAGGCCGGGCUGAGGGACACUCCGCCAACCCCAAGUGCACGAAUUUCAUGCACCGGGCCUCUAGUAUGUUGAUAGAUUUGCGAUUUGAUACGUGUGGUAUUUUGUUGUAUUGACAACAACCUUCAACGCUUCCUGUGUCAAUUUUGCUGAAGGUGUUAAGAUCAUAGAUAUGUUUAUGCUUAAAAAUGUGGAAUUUUGUGCCAAAAAAAAAAAAAAGAGAGAGAGAGAGAGAGAUUUGCGGGAAGUCUUAAUUCAUUGAUUUAUUUUGAAGAAAAGUGCUGCUGAAAGGGAUCGUAUCCUUUGGAAAGCUUACGGUGCACACGCUCCAUCUCCGGAUCCUUGUGCACGCUGGUUGAAACGCGUUAAAAGCGACGAUCUCGAGGCGAAAGACAAAGAACGUCCAGGUCGAUCGGAACCAGGCUGUGAUGAUCGUGAAACGGCCAGAAUGUUCCAGAAGACACGGCAAAGUCAUCUUCCUUCCUGAGGACGCGCCACCGCCCACUUCAAAAACCAGCUAAAGACACGUUAAAAGGUCUGGCCUGGGACGUAUGAACCCACCCGCCGUGUUCACCAGACCUGGCCCCUUCCGAUGGCCACUCGUUCCGAGCGAUGGCACGUACACCUUCUGAGAGGCACGUCCACAUGUACGAAGAAGUGGGAAAAUCGGGUCUCUGAAUGGUCUGCCCCCAAAACAGGAAAAGUUCUACUGGGACGGAUCCACCGAUCACCUGAAAGAUGGGGGGAAAUGUGUAGCUAGCGAUGGACAUGACGUUGCAUAAAGCACUUUUGAUGUUUCUCUUGGAA